AACGCACAUUGCGCCUACUAGUAUUCUGGUAGGCAUGCCUGUUCGAGCGUCAUUUCAACCCUCAAGCUUUUAACUGCUUGGUGUUGGGGUAGUUCUGCAGCCCUGUUGCAGGCCCUGAAGACAAGUGGCAGACCCCUAAGGCACUCCAGCGUAGUACUAUUUCUAGCUGAGAGAUACCUGUGGAUGUCCUGCUAGCGACAGCACAAACACAAACGUGGUUGACCUCGGAUCAGGUAGGAAUACCCGCUGAACUUAA
rnacentral:misc_RNA from 1 species